AUGCAUUCCAUGCAUCAUACUAACCUUUUCUUUUUUAGCCACAUAGACUUUUCUGUGGGUUGGAAGACGCAAAACAGUGGGAGGUUGGAAAGAGUAUCCAUUUCUCUAAAAAAUAGAACUGUGUUAGAGCAUUUAAAAAGACUGAGACGCUAAAAAGAGAUGGCCAAUGAAAGAGCUAAAGAACAAGAUGUUGAGAUCCUUAGAAUGCUGUAAUUGAAGACUUGAUGGGUGUGCACCUGGUGAGCACCUCUAGAAUCUAGAUGACUA
rnacentral:lncRNA from 1 species